UGGGGAAUUUUGGACAAUGGACGCAAGUCUGAUCCAGCCAUGCCGCGUGCGGGAAGAAGGCCUUCGGGUUGUAAACCGCUUUUGUCAGGGAAGAAAAGGGUGUCUCUAAUACAGAGGCCUCAUGACGGUACCUGAAGAAUAAGCACCGGCUAACUACGUGCCAGCAGCCGCGGUAAUACGUAGGGUGCAAGCGUUAAUCGGAAUUACUGGGCGUAAAGCGUGCGCAGGCGGUUAUGCAAGACAGAGGUGAAAUCCCCGGGCUCAACCUGGGAACUGCCUUUGUGACUGCAUGACUAGAGUACGGUAGAGGGGGAUGGAAUUCCGCGUGUAGCAGUGAAAUGCGUAGAUAUGCGGAGGAACACCGAUGGCGAAGGCAAUCCCCUGGACCUGUACUGACGCUCAUGCACGAAAGCGUGGGGAGCAAACAGGAUUAGAUACCCCGGUAGUCC
rnacentral:rRNA from 1 species